GGGCCCCGCACAAGCAGCGGAGCGUGUGGUUUAAUUCGAUGCUACACGAAGAACCUUACCAGGGUUUGACAUACAAGUAGUAGGGAAAGGAAACUGGACCGACCCUUCGGGGAGCUUGAACAGGUGCUGCAUGGCUGUCGUCAGCUCGUGUCGUGAGAUGUUCGGUUAAGUCCGCUAACGAGCGCAACCCUCGCUGUGUGUUACAAGUGUCACACGGAACUGCCGGUCAUAAACCGGAGGAAGGUGGGGAUGACGUCAAGUCAGCAUGGCCUUUAUAUCCUGGGCUACACACACGCUACAAUGGGAAGGGACAAUAGGUUGCGAAACCGCGAGGUGGAGCCAAUCCAGCAAAACUUCCCUCAGUUCAGAUUGCAGGCUGCAACUCGCCUGCAUGAAGUUGGAGUUGCUAGUAAACGCAGGUCAGCCAUACUGCGUUGAAUACGUUCCCGGGGCUU
rnacentral:rRNA from 1 species